rnacentral:rRNA from 1 species
GCUGGCGGCGUGCCUAAUACAUGCAAGUCGAGCGAAGAGAUGGGAGCUUGCUCCCUGAUCUUAGCGGCGGACGGGUGAGUAACACGUGGGCAACCUGCCCUGCAGACUGGGAUAACUCCGGGAAACCGGAGCUAAUACCGGGUAAUACAUCGCACCGCAUGGUGCAAUGUUGAAAGUUGGCUUUCGAGCUAACACUGCAGGAUGGGCCCGCGGCGCAUUAGCUAGUUGGUAAGGUAAUGGCUUACCAAGGCGACGAUGCGUAGCCGACCUGAGAGGGUGAUCGGCCACACUGGGACUGAGACACGGCCCAGACUCCUACGGGAGGCAGCAGUAGGGAAUCUUCCGCAAUGGACGAAAGUCUGACGGAGCAACGCCGCGUGAGUGACGAAGGCCUUCGGGUCGUAAAGCUCUGUUGUUAGGGAAGAACAAGUACCGUUCGAAUAGGGCGGUACCUUGACGGUACCUAACCAGAAAGCCACGGCUAACUACGUGCCAGCAGCCGCGGUAAUAC